rnacentral:lncRNA from 1 species
CUCAGCAGAAAUAAAAGAAAAGAAAAGGCAAAACUGAACUUCCCAUAAACCCAAAUCCCAUAUAGCACAGCUUUCUACAAGACCAUAAUUAAAUAAUCCCUGAAGGACUUGUGGAGGAGGGGAUAAGAAUACAUAAACUUUCCAAUAUGAUGAAAGAAAAGACCCUGUUAUUAUUAUUGGAUUUUAUUUUUAAGAAGGAAAAAACUAAAACCAACUUACUUAAGGUGGUAUACAUGGGAAAAUUAUUCCAUGCUGGGCAAGUAUCCAUAUAAGUCAGUCCUGAUACUCAAUAAAACAGAAAUUAAAAGAUGUCUUUGAAAUUGGAAGUCUGCAAGUAGAUUGUGGCAUUGUUUUUAAAAGUGCACAGAUUCAGCACCAGACAAAGGCCUUCAGCUCUGCAUCUGGACUAUUACAUUUGUUCCCAAGCAUUUAUUUAACAUUUUUUUCUUCUAGUUCAAGAUCUGAGAUGAGAGAAGCUUCUAGCAGAAAAUCUGUUUUACAGGAAGUUCUUUACUAAAUGGGAGCCUUCUUUGUUAAACAGAGGAGUCACAUACCUGUCCAAGGCCACCCAUGUAGACAGGCAAAUAGGUAGAAAGAGUGACCAGAAAAGGUAAGGAUUUCUUGUCAUCAUUUUACCUUAUCAAAUUAAAAAGCAAACUAUUGGUAUAACAUGUAAUUGUGAGAUUUGUAAAUUCUCUUUGGUCAUAUUUCUUCAGGAGGGUUCACUUUUAGUGAAAUGGUUUUCCUCAGACAGAAAAAUACCUCAUUGGGAAAACAUCUCUCAGACUGUUACAAACUAAAAUAUUGAUAGAGUCUCCGGUCUGCUAACUCUCCAACCAUGGGAAUCACCCUGCCUCACACCAGUGACACUGAAGUACCUGAGUUUCUCUAAAUAGUAGAAACCAUUAGGACAUCUGGGAAAGCCUAUGAGACAGCUGAAGAGACAAACAAGGCUCACACUUUCCUCUUUCUUCCCUCUGAUGCAGUGCAACAGAAUCCAAGGAAGAUCAUCCAGAAUCAACCCAGUAAAAAGAAUUGUCAUAAAAUCUCACACCAUUGACUUGUAA